GACGAACGCUGGCGGCGUGCUUAACACAUGCAAGUCGAACGGAAAGGCCCUGCUUUUGUGGGGUGCUCGAGUGGCGAACGGGUGAGUAACGCGUGAGUAACCUGCCCUUGACUUUGGGAUAACUUCAGGAAACUGGGGCUAAUACCGGAUAGGAGCUCCUGCUGCAUGGUGGGGGUUGGAAAGUUUCGGCGGUUGGGGAUGGACUCGCGGCUUAUCAGCUUGUUGGUGGGGUAGUGGCUUACCAAGGCUUUGACGGGUAGCCGGCCUGAGAGGGUGACCGGCCACAUUGGGACUGAGAUACGGCCCAGACUCCUACGGGAGGCAGCAGUGGGGAAUAUUGCACAAUGGGCGGAAGCCUGAUGCAGCAACGCCGCGUGCGGGAUGACGGCCUUCGGGUUGUAAACCGCUUUCGCCUGUGACGAAGCGUGAGUGACGGUAAUGGGUAAAGAAGCACCGGCUAUCUACGUG
rnacentral:rRNA from 1 species